GUCUUUCAAAACAACGAAAGCCCUUCCUCUCAUCCGUCCUUACGGUUCCUAGACCGCGCCAGUAUGAAUUGAAAACUCCAAACCAUA
rnacentral:sRNA from 1 species